CAACGAACUUCCGUGUGAAUUCGCAUUAUGAGGUGCUUGCACUGAAUGAGAUUUUAACACGAAGUGAGUGGCGGACGGGUGAGUAACACGUGGGUAACCUGCCCAGAAGCAGGGGAUAACACCUGGAAACAGAUGCUAAUACCGUAUAACAGAGAAAACCGCCUGGUUUUCUUUUAAAAGAUGGCUCUGCUAUCACUUCUGGAUGGACCCGCGGCGCAUUAGCUAGUUGGUGAGGUAACGGCUCACCAAGGCGAUGAUGCGUAGCCGACCUGAGAGGGUAAUCGGCCACAUUGGGACUGAGACACGGCCCAGACUCCUACGGGAGGCAGCAGUAGGGAAUCUUCCACAAUGGACGCAAGUCUGAUGGAGCAACGCCGCGUGAGUGAAGAAGGGUUUCGGCUCGUAAAGCUCUGUUGUUAAAGAAGAACGUGGGUGAGAGUAACUGUUCACCCAGUGACGGUAUUUAACCAGAAAGCCACGGCUAACUACGUGCCAGCAGCCGCGGUAAUACGUAGGUGGCAAGCGUUAUCCGGAUUUAUUGGGCGUAAAGCGAGCGCAGGCGGUCUUUUAAGUCUAAUGUGAAAGCCUUCGGCUCAACCGAAGAAGUGCAUUGGAAACUGGGAGACUUGAGUGCAGAAGAGGACAGUGGAACUCCAUGUGUAGCGGUGAAAUGCGUAGAUAUAUGGAAGAACACCAGUGGCGAAGGCGGCUGUCUGGUCUGUAACUGACGCUGAGGCUCGAAAGCAUGGGUAGCGAACAGGAUUAGAUACCCUGGUAGUCCAUGCCGUAAACGAUGAUUACUAAGUGUUGGAGGGUUUCCGCCCUUCAGUGCUGCAGCUAACGCAUUAAGUAAUCCGCCUGGGGAGUACGACCGCAAGGUUGAAACUCAAAAGAAUUGACGGGGGCCCGCACAAGCGGUGGAGCAUGUGGUUUAAUUCGAAGCUACGCGAAGAACCUUACCAGGUCUUGACAUCUUCUGCCAACCUAAGAGAUUAGGCGUUCCCUUCGGGGACAGAAUGACAGGUGGUGCAUGGUUGUCGUCAGCUCGUGUCGUGAGAUGUUGGGUUAAGUCCCGCAACGAGCGCAACCCUUAUUACUAGUUGCCAGCAUUCAGUUGGGCACUCUAGUGAGACUGCCGGUGACAAACCGGAGGAAGGUGGGGACGACGUCAAAUCAUCAUGCCCCUUAUGACCUGGGCUACACACGUGCUACAAUGGAUGGUACAACGAGUCGCGAAACCGCGAGGUUUAGCUAAUCUCUUAAAACCAUUCUCAGUUCGGACUGUAGGCUGCAACUCGCCUACACGAAGUCGGAAUCGCUAGUAAUCGCGGAUCAGCAUGCCGCGGUGAAUACGUUCCCGGGCCUUGUACACACCGCCCGUCACACCAUGAGAGUUUGUAACACCCAAAGCCGGUGGGGUAACCUU
rnacentral:rRNA from 1 species